rnacentral:rRNA from 1 species
GCAAGUCGAACGAAGGCCCGGAGCUUGCUCCGGUGUCCUUAGUGGCGGACGGGUGAGUAACACGUGGGAAUCUACCCAGCAGUGCGGAAUAACUACUGGAAACGGUGGCUAAUACCGCAUACGCCCUUCGGGGGAAAGUUUUAACGCUGUUGGAUGAGCCCGCGCCCGAUUAGCUAGUUGGUGGGGUAAAAGCCUACCAAGGCUACAAUCGGUAGCUGGUCUGAGAGGAUGAUC